CAAAAUCGUUACAAGGAACUACCGAUUCCCGACUUGCAAAACACACCUCCAAAAUUUUACUAUAAAUGUAGGAACAGUUGUCGAAGUAAUCAGUAUUCGCUACUGACUUCACACCCGUUCAACAUGUUCAAACUUUUCGUUUUCUUGGCACUCGUAGCUUUUGCUUUAGCUGUCCCUAAAGCUCAACCUCAGUACUUGGGAGCUGGUCUUUAUGGAGGUUAUUCUUCUCUGGGAUACUCUUCUUUGGGAUAUGCUCCAUAUGCUGGUUAUGGUUUAGGAUAUGGAUAUGGAUACAUUUAAAUUUAUAGUGAUAACAAAGUUUUAGAAGAAAUAAAAUCUUUUAAACAAUA